UAUUCAAAAUGAUGAUUUCAUAGUUCAACUGAACACUUUGAUGUAUAACUAGCAUAUGUCUUUCGCUCCUAUCUGAUCAUGAUUA
rnacentral:snoRNA from 1 species